rnacentral:rRNA from 1 species
ACAUCCAGAGAACUUCAGAGAUGGAUUGGUGCCUUCGGGAACUCUGAGACAGGUGCUGCAUGGCUGUCGUCAGCUCGUGUUGUGAAAUGUUGGGUUAAGUCCCGCAAGAGCGCAACCCUUAUCCUUUGUUGCCAGCGGUUCGGCCGGGAACUCAAAGGAGACUGCCAGUGAUAAACUGGAGGAAGGUGGGGAUGACGUCAAGUCAUCAUGGCCCUUACGAGUAGGGCUACACACGUGCUACAAUGGCGUAUACAAAGAGAAGCGACCUCGCGAGAGCAAGCGGAUCUCAUAAAGUACGUCGUAGUCCGGAUUGGAGUCUGCAACUCGACUCCAUGAAGUCGGAAUCGCUAGUAAUCGUGGAUCAGAAUGCUACGGUGAAUACGUUCCCGGGCCUUGUACACACCGCCCGUCACACCAUGGGAGUGGGUUGCAAAAGAAGUAGGUAGCUUAACCUUCGGGAGGGCGCUUACCACUUUGUGAUUCAUGACUGGGGUGAAGUCGUAACAAGGUAAGCGUAGAUGA